rnacentral:rRNA from 1 species
AGAUUGAACGCUGGCGACAUGCCUUACACAUGCAAGUCGAACGGCAGCGCGGGGCAACCUGGCGGCGAGUGGCGAACGGGUGAGUAAUAUAUCGGAACGUACCCUGGAGUGGGGGAUAACGUAGCGAAAGUUACGCUAAUACCGCAUACGAUCUAAGGAUGAAAGUGGGGGAUUCGCAAGAACCUCAUGCUCCUGGAGCGGCCGAUAUCUGAUUAGCUAGUUGGUGGGUAAAGGCCUACCAAGGCAUCGAUCAGUAGCUGGUCUGAGAGGACGACCAGCCACACUGGAACUGAGACACGGUCCAGACUCCUACGGGAGGCAGCAGUGGGAAUUUUGGACAAUGGGCGAAAGCCUGAUCCAGCAAUGCCGCGUGAGUGAAGAGGCUGGUGUAAGCUCUUUGUCAGGAAGAACGUAGAAGACUAAUA